GUGGGGAAUAUUGCGCAAUGGGGGAAACCCUGACGCAGCUAUGCCGCGUGGGUGAUGAAGGCCUUCGGGUCGUAAAGCCCUGUCGGAGGGAACGAAGGCGCAAGCUUGACGGUACCCUCCAAGGAAGCACCGGCUAACCUCGUGCCAGCAGCCGCGGUAAUACGAGGGGUGCAAGCGUUGCUCGGAUUUACUGGGCGUAAAGCGACCGCAGGCGGUUUGACAGGUCCGACGUGAAAGCCCGGGGCUCAACCCCGGAAGUGCGUUGGAAACCGUCAGACUUGAAUACGAGAGAGGAGAGUGGAAUUCCUGGUGUAGAGGUGAAAUUCGUAGAUAUCAGGAGGAACACCAGCGGCGAAGGCGGCUCUCUGGCUCGAUAUUGACGCUCAUGGUCGAAAGCGUGGGGAGCAAACAGGAUUAGAAACCCCUGUAGUCC
rnacentral:rRNA from 1 species